rnacentral:rRNA from 1 species
UCACUUGUUCUUUAAAUGGGGACCAGUAUGAACGGCAUCACGAGGGCUAUACUGUCUCCUUUUUCCAAUCAGUGAAACUAAUCUCCCCGUGAAGAAGCGGGGAUUCUGCUAUAAGACGAGAAGACCCUAUGGAGCUUUAAAUUUUUUUUCAGACGCUAAAAUAACUAAAAAGUCUUAGACUUAAUUUUACACUCACCCAAACGCCAUGAAGAUAAUUUUAGGUUGGGGUGACCACGGAGUAUAAAAAAACCUCCACGCUGAAUUAGGUUUCUAAACCUUGAGCCGAGGGCCACGACCCAACGCACUAAAAAAUUAACACCCAUUGACCCAAUUUUUUUGAUCAACGAACCAAGUUACCCUAGGGAUAACAGCGCAAUCCAUUUCAAGAGUCCAUAUCGACAAAUGGGUUUACGACCUCGAUGUUGGAUCAGGGUCUCCCAGUGGUGCAGCCGCUACUAAUGGUUCGUUUGUUCA